rnacentral:rRNA from 1 species
CCUACGGGAGGCUGCAGUGGGGAAUAUUGGACAAUGGGGGCAACCCUGAUCCAGCCAUGCCGCGUGUGUGAAGAAGGCCCUCGGGUUGUAAAGCACUUUCAGUGAGGAAGAACGCCUGGUGGUUAAUACCCAUCAGGAAAGACAUCACUCACAGAAGAAGCACCGGCUAACUCCGUGCCAGCAGCCGCGGUAAUACGGAGGGUGCGAGCGUUAAUCGGAAUUACUGGGCGUAAAGCGCGCGUAGGUGGCUUGAUAAGCCGGUUGUGAAAGCCCCGGGCUCAACCUGGGAACGGCAUCCGGAACUGUCAAGCUAGAGUGCAGGAGAGGAAGGUAGAAUUCCCGGUGUAGCGGUGAAAUGCGUAGAGAUCGGGAGGAAUAACAGUGGCGAAGGCGGCCUUCUGGACUGACACUGACACUGAGGUGCGAAAGCGUGGGUAGCAAACAGGAUUAGAUACCCGUGUAGUC